CUCGUUUGGUUGUCCAUCGACAUUGCGAAGAUCUCUCACAAAAUCGGGCACCUUACCGAGCUCCAGAAUAUUUGGAGCCGGUUGAACAAAACUCUGGCUGCCGUUGAACAUUUUUUCACUUCGACACUGUCACUUUGCACCACACACUUUGAAUACUUACAAAAUAAUACUCACAAAAACACUAUUGUUGCUUACCAACGCUGAUUUUCGUCGUGCUCCGUCGGUGAUGCUCCGUUGUAACUCGUUGGUGAUACUCCGUUCGGGGGAAGGUUAGGCAGCUGGUGGAGGGGAAUCCUUUUUACCGGUCCGGUUACUAGGGGUCUCGUACAGCGAUCGGGUGAUAACCACAGUGUCCCAAGCUUCGCUUCGCUCUUUUGCAGUAGUGGCUCUUUGGACCACUGUUUCAGAGAGUAUUGCUCUCUGAGGCCGCAAAUACACGACGCGCGUUUUCCGCGCCCGCGUUCAAACGCGUAUAACAGUAGAACAGUUCCGCAGAGAUGUCCAGCAUGAACAUUUCUGCGUUUCCGCGGUAGCGCGUUCGAAUGACAUUUCAUCAUUGUUUACAUUUUGGCCGGUAAAACGUUGUUUAUUGUAUUUGCGUGAAAUUUACGAUAAAAACACAAAAAUGGGUAAUAAAGGAGUGAUAUAAUGUAUAUUUGGAGAUAUAUAACCCCAGUUUUCUAUUUUUAGAUUAUAUGCCAGACAAAAAAAAGAGGAAGAAGGUAUGUAUACAAAUACAGUAUGAAUUUUUCGAUGACGAAAAACCACCGCUUGAUUACGCUGACAACGUAUUGUAUGUUGAUCAUCUGGAAGCGAUUGAGAUCGAUCUAGACGGGGAAAAAGACGGCAACGUGUACGAUUGCGAGGUUUUGCGAGCCACGAUUGGUUUACAAUCACGAAAAUGUGGUACAGCACGGGUUCAUCGCUAAUCGUUUCCCAUCAUAUGUUCUCAAGCAGCUUCAUUAGGGCUUGUGGCAUCUACUCCAGCGAACCGAGAUAGCCACGUCUGUGUUGUUGGUACUUGCGACCCGUAAUAUCACCAUGGUCGCGUAUAAUUUUUUGUUUGUCCUCCGCCGGCAUGUAUUUCAUUAGCGCAGAAUCAAACAAUUUUGAUUUUUCCACAUGCACGCCGGCAAGAGCGAUUACCACUACCUUACUCCAAGCUACACUCAUUGGUCACAGUGGCUUUCGAACGCCUUUUGAGGAAAAUUAGCAUUUUACUGGUAUAAGCCUAAGUUAAACUUUGCAAAAACUUUUCAUCACUGCUUAGUUUGAUCCUGCAAUGGAUCUACCAGGCGAACAUAUACUUCAUUAAAAAUUUCCUUACUAGAAGAGCUUAGGUAUUACCUUGGCAAAGAGGCCUUGCCUUAAGAUACGUGAUGGUUUUAUUUAUGCUCAGUGAGGGUUGUAUGUUUCAAAGUUAUCAUUUUUAUCUUGUUAUCUUUUGUUAGCAUGAAUGUUGACUUUUGUAACUCUUGUAGGUUAUACUGUUUAAACUGCUCCUGCAUUGGCGUGCUUUGCAUAAAUAGUUUCAACUGUUAAAUAUUUGAUUAUCUUUACCUACGCUGCGCUUUAAUUGUGUUUGAGAAAUGAUUUCUUAUUUAUGCAGAUAUGCUACAAUACUUUCCAAUGCGUCGUAAAAUACAAUCAUAACUGAACCAACAUUUUCUUGCAAAAAUAUUUUCUUUUCAGAACAUCCAUAUGAGUGAGGAAAUUACUCUUGUGUUUGUAGACCUUGUGUUCCGGCAUGAAGCUAUUUGGAACCGGAAACACAAGGAUUACAAAGAUAUUAAUCGUCGGAACGACGAUUGGUGCAGCAUAGCUGACCAAGUGGGAUUGCCAGUCAAUGUGUUGAAGGACAAGUGGGCAUCACUCCAGUCUACAUAUAGAAAGUGCCGAUCAACAUAUAACAAGAGUCUGGUAACUGGUUCUGGAGCUGAUGAAAUUGACAACCCCACUUGGUUUGCCUAUAGUGCGAUGCGGUUUCUCGAUGGAACAACCGAUUGUGGUAAAACGUUGAAUACCGUAAGUAAAUAUAUACAUUCGGUCCGCGUUGGUUGAACUUUGAUAUCAUAUCAAUAAUUUUAUUUGUGUUUUUAUAUGGAAAAAGCACAAGUUUAAUAGUUGACACGCAAUCUAAGUUCUAUCAGCGAGUUCAAACUAUUUAUGUUUUAUUUUAUAUCCAUGGUUAUAUUAUUCUAUAAGCUCUUCACAUCAUUUUAAACGAACGUAUUACCGAUAGUAUAAGGUAAAAAAGAUAAUAAAACUAAUAAUAUUGUUUUCCGCAAA